rnacentral:rRNA from 1 species
UACGUAGAGACCGAGCGUUGUCCGGAAUCAUUGGGCGUAAAGAGCGUGUAGGCGGCCUUUUAAGUCCUGCGUGAAAUCCUGCGGCUCAACCGCAGACGGUCGUGGGAAACUGGAAGGCUAGAGUGCGGGAGAGGAGAGUGGAAUUCCCGGUGUAGCGGUGAAAUGCGCAGAUAUCAGGAAGAACACCCGUGGCGAAGGCGGCUCUCUGGGACGGUACUGACGCUGAGACGCGAAAGCGUGGGGAGCGAACAGG